rnacentral:rRNA from 1 species
UACGUAGGAUCCAAGCGUUGCCCGGAUUUACUGGGUGUAAAGCGCGCGUAGGCGGACCUGCAAGUCGGGGGUGAAAGCCCGAGGCUCAACCUCGGAACUGCCUUCGAUACUGCGGGUCUCGAGUCCGGGAGAGGUGAGUGGAAUUCCUAGUGUAGAGGUGAAAUUCGUAGAUAUUAGGAAGAACACCAGUGGCGAAGGCGGCUCACUGGCCCGGUACUGACGCUGAGGCGCGAAAGCGUGGGGAGCAAACAGG